GACGAACGCUGGCGGCGUGCCUAAUACAUGCAAGUCGAACGAGAGCGACCGGUGCUUGCACUGGUCAAUCUAGUGGCGAACGGGUGAGUAACACGUGGGUAACCUGCCCAUCAGAGGGGGAUAACAUCCGGAAACGGAUGCUAAAACCGCAUAGGUCUUCGAACCGCAUGGUUUGAAGAGGAAAAGAGGCGCAAGCUUCUGCUGAUGGAUGGACCCGCGGUGCAUUAGCUAGUUGGUGAGGUAACGGCUCACGAAGGCCGUGAUGCAUAGCCGACCUGAGAGGGUGAUCGGCCACAUUGGGACUGAGACACGGCCCAAACUCCUACGGGAGGCAGCAGUAGGGAAUCUUCCGCAAUGGACGCAAGUCUGACGGAGCAACGCCGCGUGAGUGAAGAAGGUGUUCGGAUCGUAAAACUCUGUUGUUAGAGAAGAACAAGUGCUAGAGUAACUGUUAGCGCCUUGACGGUAGCUAACCAGAAAGCCACGGCUAACUACGUG
rnacentral:rRNA from 1 species